AGAGAGUGAAGGGGAAUUAAGAGCCAGAGAGAGCAGAGGAGAGAGGAGGAGGCCUCACAUGGAUACAUGGCCAGUCCACUGGGCACUUCCUCUGUGCCAGGUGUUACAGCGAGAGUUGGGAGGCACCGAGCAGCUCCAGGCUGUCCAGUGACUGUGCCACCAAGUCCCUUGCAAAGGCAAGGCUCUCGGCUGAACUACCAGACUGCCCUGGUGUGGCUCUGACGGCUGACAGUGAAUCCCAACCCAGCAGGAUGUUUUGUUCCGGAGGAGCCUUGAAGUCCAUUCGGCCUAUGAAAGAGGCAAAGGAUACCACAUUCCAUUUAUUUGUCAUGACUCGUUUCCUCUUGGCUGUGACAAUUUCUAAGACUUGCCUUAUUUUUGAUGAUCUCGACACUUUUGAAGAGGACUGGUCAGGUAGUUUCAUAAACCAUCCUUCAG
ensembl:lncRNA